AUUGAACGCUGGCGGCAUGCCUUACACAUGCAAGUCGAACGGCAGCGGGGGAGAAGCUUGCUUUUCCUGCCGGCGAGUGGCGAACGGGUGAGUAAUACAUCGGAACGUGCCCUGUAGUGGGGGAUAACUAGUCGAAAGAUUAGCUAAUACCGCAUACGACCUGAGGGUGAAAGUGGGGGACCGCAAGGCCUCAUGCUAUAGGAGCGGCCGAUGUCUGAUUAGCUAGUUGGUGGGGUAAAGGCCUACCAAGGCGGCGAUCAGUAGCUGGUCUGAGAGGACGAUCAGCCACACUGGGACUGAGACACGGCCGAGACUCCUACGGGAGGCAGCAGUGGGGAAUUUUGGACGAUGGGCGAAAGCCUGAUCCAGCAAUGCCGCGUGUGUGAAGAAGGCCUUCGGGUUGUAAAGCACUUUUGUCCGGAAAGAAAUGGCUCUGGUUAAUACCUGGGGUCGAUGACGGUACCGGAAGAAUAAGGACCGGCUAACUACGUGCCAGCCGCCGCAGUAA
rnacentral:rRNA from 1 species